UAGGGAAUCUUCGGAAAUGGGGGGAACCCUGACCGAGCAACGCCGCGUGAGUGAAGAAGGUUCUCGGAUCGUAAAGCUCUGUUGUUAAGGAAGAACGAGUGUGAGAAUGGAAAGUUCAUGCUGUGACGGUACUUAACCAGAAAGGGACGGCUAACUACGUGCCAGCAGCCGCGGUAAUACGUAGGUCCCGAGCGUUGUCCGGAUUUAUUGGGCGUAAAGCGAGCGCAGGCGGUUAGAAAAGUCUGAAGUGAAAGGCAGUGGCUCAACCAUUGUAGGCUUUGGAAACUGUUUAACUUGAGUGCAGAAGGGGAGGGUGGAAUUCCAUGUUUAGCUGUGAAAUGCGUAGAUAUAUGGAGGAACACCGUUGGCGAAAGCGGCUCUCUGGUCUGUAACUGACGCUGAGGCUCGAAAGCGUGGGGCGCGAACAGG
rnacentral:rRNA from 1 species